UACGGAGGGUGCAAACGUUGCUCGGAAUCAUUGGGCGUAAAGCGCGUGUAGGCGGCUAAGUAAGUCGGGCGUGAAAUCCCACGGCUCAACCGUGGAAGUGCACUCGAAACUGCAUAGCUAGAGUCCUGGAGAGGAAGGUGGAAUGCUUGGUGUAGAGGUGAAAUUCGUAGAUAUCAAGCGGAACACCGGUGGCGAAGGCGGCCUUCUGGACAGUGACUGACGCUGAGACGCGAAAGCGUGGGGAGCAAACAGG
rnacentral:rRNA from 1 species